rnacentral:lncRNA from 1 species
UAGUUCCUGAAGAACUAAUAAAACAACUUUUUUUUUCUCUUCAAUGAAUUCUAGAUGAAUUCAAUAUUCCUACAUCCUUAAGGAUUGUAAAUUGAUAGUGAUUUAUUAUAUAGUUCCUGAAGAACUCAAUGGAUAAAAUUGUAAAAUUCAAUUGCUAAGUAAAUUUCACAGAAUUCAUGUAGCAUGAAUCGCACCGUUUGUUUUUACGGCCUGCAGUAAUAUAACCUCAAAAACAAGGUCAAUGGCCGUAUUGAUUUUUCCGUUAAAAAUUCUAAAUUAAGACAAAUCUUCAUAUUUAAUACUAUUUCCAAAUAUAACAUUGAAUGCCUUUUAUUUCUAAAUUAUAAAUUAAGACAAAUCUUCAUAUU